UCCCUUUUGAUAUUGAGAAGCAGCAUAUAAAUUUGGCACACUCAGCAAGAAACAGAUUUGUAGAGAUAAUAAUGGUACUUGGUUGGGUUACAUGGUAGGAAAGGAACUGGGAUUUUCACUUACUUCCCUUUCAUUCAUAACCCAUGUCCUAACUCUUUUGUGGGCUACAUUUUAAAGGAACAGAGUUUUUCAUUUUUGCCAUACAUUUGUAAGUGUUUUUUCCUCCAAAUCACUGGCAGUUUUUCAUUAUUUCUGCCUAAGACAAUGUCUGUUUCCUGGAAGCUAUACUCAUGGGUGUUUACAGGAUGCUGGAAUUUGGACUCCAGGCGUCAUGAUUGCACAAUCAACAGAAGAGAUUCUUGUGUCCUACAGACCAAAGAAAGAAUCAGCAGGAAUGCCCAGGGUGAAUGAUGGAUUGCAGAGCCUGGCUGAACUCAACAAAAAUCCAGUGGGAGGCUUUUUAGCAGGUUUAAUAGACGACAAUGAUCUCUAUUGUUGGGAAGUCCUUAUUAUUGGUCCUCCAGAUACACUUUAUGAAGGUGGUGUUUUUAAGGCUUAUCUCAUUUUCCCAAAAGAUUAUCCCCUCCGGCCUCCUAAAAUGAAAUUCAUUACAGAUAUUUGGCCCCCAAAUGGCAACCUUCCUCUGAUUUGGAACAAAAUAAAAACAGGCUGGUCUUCCCUUGUACCUGACACAGGCAAAUUGAGCUGGCCCAGACAGCAGAGCUCUGUAAGGCAUGUUGAUAUUGAUUGCUUCUUUGUCUCAGGGGCUAUAAGAAAUAUAACAGAUCUCAAAGAAAAACAGUGGCUCUGUCAGCAACUAUGGCACAGGAAGGUCACCUUUUCAUCGUGGUGCUAACAUCCAACUGGAGUGGCAGUAUUACCAAAAUAAAAUCCUGAAAGGAGAAGCAGACAGGAAAACUCGAAGAUCUCAGGGAAGUCUGUUUUUUGAAGUGUUCAGGAACGAGAGGUGUUUUAUUAUCUUUAGUGUGAUGUUUUCUACCAUUUUUGUACGAGGAGUUUUUCCUGUGUUGAAUUUUGGUUCUUAAGUUGGAAAGUAAAGCAACCUAGUAAUAUUCUU